GCAGCGGCGGGCGCGGAGGAGGCGGAGCCGCGGCGCCGCGCGCACCUGCCGGGGGGGUCGGCGGCGGCGGCGGUUCGGCAGAGAUGAGCUGACUUAAAUGGAAACAUCGCAAUGGCAUCUACAGUCAACCAGAGCACCACCAACGGCUUGUACAAUGAGGAUAGAAACUUGCUCCGUAUUCGAGAGAGAGAGAGACGGAAUCAGGAGGCUCUGCAGGAGAGAGAUACGUUCCCUGAAAAUGCCCCCCUCUUUGCAGAACCUUACAAGACUAAUAAAGAGGAUGAGUUGUCAAGCCGUAUUCAGAACAUGCUGGGCAAUUACGAGGAGGUCAAGGAGCUCAUCAGCACCAAAUCCCAUCAGGAUCUCAUUGGGAUACCAAAAAGUGUUGUUUCUCUGAUCCCACAAGGAAAGCCUGAUCGCCCAUUCUUCCCUGAAAAGACCAGCCAUACAUUACCAUCUUCAUUCCAGCACACAACCCGCCAUCAGCCCAUGGGACCUCCAGUUGUAGCACCUCCCCCUCCAAGCAACUCCAUUCACUACCAAAAGACACAAUCAAGGACACAACCAGCUUCAGGUUUGCACACCAAAACUCACAGCUUAUCCAAUAGUCGAAGCCAAGGUCAAGAACACAGUCGUGGUGGCCAGGAAAGUCACGUAGGUUCUCGCCACAAGAGAAAUGACAGGCGUGUUGUUGGUGAAGAUCGUACUGAUGAACUGCAGGCCUCCCUUUUGGAGCUUUCUCCGUUGUUGUCAUCUUUGUCUUCUCCAGUGGCACCCCUGUCACCUCUACAUUCCAGCCAGCAUAUCAAUUCCAGGUCACAGAACAGCAACAAAAGUCGUGGGCCGGCCUAUAGUCAAACAAAAUCACCUCAGGACCUAGUGGCGGGAUCACAGGAGAAUGAAAGUCGGGACAAUUCAGCUGUUACCUUGACUAGUACCACUCAGCCUUCCUCUCAGAACUUUCCCCCAUCUUUGCCAUCAAAAACCAGUGCAAUGCAGCAGAAACCUACUGCCUAUGUCAGACCAAUGGAUGGCCAAGAUCAGGCACCAGUUGAAUCACCGGAGCUCAAACCUCUUGCGGAGGAAUACCACGGAGAACCCUAUGAAAAAAUCUCAGAUUUGAAGGCAAAUGCCAAGGCCAAAUUAUCCAAACUGAAAAUCCCUUCUGAGCCCAUUGAGCAAACCUUCCCCAGUGAUGUCCAUUGCGUUGAGGAAAUUUUGAAGGAAAUGACCCACUCAUGGCCGCCUCCUUUGACAGCUAUUCAUACACCUAGUACAGCCGAGCCCUCAAAAUUUCCAUUUCCAUCAAAGGAGUCCCAGCAUGUUGGAUCUGUAGCACAGAAUCAGAAACAGUAUGAUGCACCUUCAAAAACGUUGCCUAAUUCUCAGCCGAAAACAUCAAUGCUGCAGGACGACCUUCAGCUCAGUGAUAGUGAAGACAGUGGUGAUGACCAAGUUGUUGAAAAGCCACCUUCUUCAUUUGCUCCUCCAAGUGCCCCGCAGUCCCAGCCUGAGAGUGUGGCAUCAGCACAUUCCAGCAGCCCGGCCUCAGGGAGCACCAGUGACUCAGACAGCUCGUCAGACUCGGAGACGGAGAGCAGCUCAAGUGACAGUGAAGCGAACGAGCCUCCGAGACCGCCAGCACCUGAGCCUGAUCCACCAACGUCUAAUAAGUGGCAGCUUGACAACUGGCUGACUAAGGUGAACCCACCAGCAGUGCCAACUGAGAGUCUCAGAGAAAUUGCCCACGCAGAUGGACAUGAGGAGAACAAGGAACAGGGAAAGAGUACCAGCAGCAGUUCCUCUCACGAGCGGCCCGAACCGAAGGAGCCUCAUCCCAAGAACGCUAGCCGAGCAGCCAGGGCUCCUCAGGAUGUUCAUCUUCCGAGCAAACGAAACUGCCAGAAGUCUCCCGUGCGUACUGAGGAGCCCUCACAGAGGCAGACUGUUGGGAUCAAAAGGCCCAGCAAGGUCCCUGUGCACGAGGGGCCCAAGGGAGGCCUGAAGGUGGAAAGCGAACCUGGUCCGUAUGAGGUUAAAGACCAGUCUUCCAGAGACAAGCCAAAAGUAAAAACGAAAGGCAGGCCAAAAUGCGGUGAUAAAAAAGAAUUGAAAGCAACAUCGCAAGAGCCCUCUGAGAACAGAAAGCACAAGAGCUCGCAUCAAGCCAACUCCAAGCCCCUACUGGACCCUAAGCCUGUGAGAGACAUUUUGCCUGGCAGUGCCCAAGAGCAUCUCGCUCUCAGUCCCCUCACCCAAAGCCAGGGCACAACCCCCACCAGGACUAGCGGCAAUAAGUCCGCCGUUGUGGUUAGAGAGGAUUUUCACAAAGACAAGUUUCCCUUGCCUAUCAGGGAGAAGAAGUUGUUAUCGCCUGUGAGGGACUUCCCAGUCCCUCACACCCUCGUGGUUAAAAUUGAGCUCGCUCUCCUGUCAAGGAUUCCUCAGCCCCCUGGGAAAGGCAGUCGCCAGAAAAAAGCAGAGGUGAAAGAGCUCCUGGGUGCAAGGAAGCAGGACUCGGAGAGGAAAAGCACGGACACUCCUGACAAGUCCUUCAAAAAGAGGAAGAGGGAAAUGGAGAAGGAGAUUGAUAGGAAGAAAAUGAAAUCAGACAAAGAAACCAAAUCAUUGCAGUCUUCAACUCACAAAGACUCCAGUAAAUUGAAAGUAUCAAAAGCUUCAUUUGAGAUCCAGAAGAAAGAUCUCCUGCUACCCCCACCAUUGCCACCCAUGUCUCCUGCACAUCCUGCACCGAAGCCAACCAAGACGGCCCAAAAGAGACACCGAAGUGAGAGCGGCCAGCUGCCUGCCACAAAUAACACUGCCAAGAACAAGAGCAGCCACAAGGAUCCUUUGUCCUCCAAGCACAAAAAAGUGGACAGAAAGCAUCCUGAACAGCCGAAGAGCAACAAAGGAUCUGCCGGGGAUGUCACAAAUCCUUUCCCAGUGCCUUCUUUGCCAAAUGGUACCUCCAAGCCAAGGAGACCUCAAGUCAAGUUUGAAAAACAGCAUUCAAUGGAAUAUCACAUAGAAGAGGCCAAGAGGCUGAAGCACAAAGCUGAUGCUAUGACCGACAAGACUGGAAAGGCCUUUCAGUACUUGGAUGCUGCUCUUUCCUUCAUUGAAUAUGGGAUUGCCAUGGAAUCGGAUGCACCAGCACCAAAAUCAGCUUACAGCAUAUUCGCUGACACCAUAGAUCUCAUCAAAUUCAUAAUGACAUUAAAAUCCUUUACGGACUCCUCAGCAUCUUCACAUGAAAAAAUCUUUGCCGUGUUAUGCAUGCGCUGCCAGUCCAUUCUGCACAUGGCAAUGUUUCGUUACAAAAAAGACACUGCAAUAAAGUAUUCCAGGAUCCUCAAUGACCACUUCAAGAGUUCUUCCAGAGUAACACAAGCACCUUCUCCAUGUGUUGCAAGAAGCACAGGCACGCCUUCUCCUCUUUCUCCAAUGCCCUCUCCUGCCGGCUCUGUGAGUUCUCAGCCAGGAUCAAACGCUAGCAACUGUGGUGGCAACAGCAUUGGCUCUUCAGUCAGCGUCCCCUAUAAUAUCCCGAACAUCACCUCUUCCUAUGUCAACAUCACUUCCUAUAUCCUCUAUGCGUAUGAUAUUUGGGAACAGGCUGAUGCCCUGGCCAGGAAGAAUAAGGAAUUUUUUGCUGAACUCAGCGCAGCGGCGUGCACUCUGGCACUGAACAGUAGCAUGACCGAACUGGUACACUACACUAGACAGGGUUUACAGUGGCUGAGACUGGAAACAAAUACGCCUUAACUGGUGCUCAAGGUGGUGAAAUACCUUGAACUCUUUUGCACUUUGGAAGCCUCAGAAACAGUCUGGCUUGUUGAAUCAUUGGAUACAAAGCACCUGCAAGGGAAAAUAAAUCACGACGGAAGGGAUCUGGUUACACUGGAAAAAUUUUUGAACUGAGUUUUUAGGGUAGCACUUUGCUGCCUUGAAAAAGAAGAGAUGGAGGAAGGCCUCAGAGUUGAUGAUGCCUUCCUUUAAAACGACGAAGUGCAAUGAAUUGUCUGAGUGGCUCAAUGUAUUGAUGGUCUAUAAACAUUUCUAUUACAAAUAACCAGCAGGACAAUAAUCACACAUGAAGAAGUGCCGACAAGAAGGAAAUCUGCCUCCAGAAGUUAUUAUGCAACAUCCCACAGUCUGCAAUGGUUGUGUGCCCAGAAGGAAUUUCAGAGAAGUGUUUUUGCAAACGCAGAUGCAAUCCAUAAUGCUGGUUCUUUGUUUCUCAGACGACAGAGCAGGGGGAGGACGAAUCCUCAUCAGCACCGAACAGCGUUAUGUUAAAAUAAAAGCAGCAGAGUGGUCUGCCUUGCCUGCUUUCCAACCUCACCCUCUUGCGUUUGUCAGCCAGCUGCUGCUCUACUGAGAAGCGAGUGAAGCCACUGCCUUCAGCGCUGCAAGUUCACUUCUGAAAUCAUCGUUGCUUUGAUUUUCUUCCUUGCCAUGCACUCGUGCACACACACGCCCUUAACACUCGAACGAUUUCACUUAUGGUCUUGCUUAGUUUAAGCCUUGUAAGCCAAACGCAGUUGCAGUGGAGGAAUUACCAGAAAGCCCUGGGAGCUGGGGAUCGGUGAGACGUAAUCUGCGAGUGAGGGCAGAAGGUGGAGGCCUCCUGAAUGGCGUUUUCUUUGUUAAGCGCGUGCUUAUUAUGGCGCUGUGGGCGCAGGCGAGGGUGACGUUGUCAGGUCUCCAGGCUGCACGCGGACCGUGGCAUCCUGCUCAAACUGCUGCCCGUCUGCUCAGCCGUCGGCCGCGCCGUCCUGGGUCAUUUCUGUGGGAUUUGUGGUUUAAGUGUUACCAUCCAAGGUUGGUUUUUUUCCUCCUUUGCUCAUCAGUUUUGAGCAUAAAUAAAAUACCGCAAUUCUCAGUGAACAUGGUCUUUAAAAAGCAAUUGUCAGGUUGCCUGAAUGGGGAAUACUAAGUCUGUUAAGUUGUCCUCAUCUCUUGCGGAACAACGUGCCAGUUCUCGCUCCCUCGGCGGUACUUCACCGUACUGGGACCCAGCUGUGGCCUGGGCGCUGUCAUGUCCUCGAGCUUCAGGGAGCACUGAGGACGCUCGACAUCUCGCGGAACAGAGUCUCCCAUGGGAAAAGACGUGCAAAUAAGCCAGGGGAGGGGACGGAUAUAUUUUUAAGUACUUCAGCACUGAAUCUGCACUCUGAGGCUUCUGUGAAUAAGAAUUAGCGGCCUUUUACAGUCCUUUAAAAUGAUGACACCCAGAUCUGUGAUACAGCUUAAAAAAUGAAGGAAAAAAAAAAAAAACACCUCUCCAAAGAAAUUGUGCCACAGAUCUUUUGUUUGUUUGUCUUCUGUAUUGAGGAUGCAUUGCUGCGUGUGUGUAUAGAGAUAUAUAUAUAUAAAUUAAAAAAAAAUGAAUUUUGACUUGCUUGUCCUCAGAUUCUUCGGAUGAAAAGGAUAUUGGUCAAAACUGUAAAGAUGAAAUCAAAAAUAAGCUGCCGGGGGAGAGGGAAUUGUUUUUGUGAUCUGAAGCUGUGGUUUUUUUAACCUCCUCUGUUCCAGUUGUGCACAGCCACCCAAGCCCAGGCGCGGGGUGCAGGCUACCUCCGUAGCUGAGGCUUCGUGUGGUUGUGCCGUGCGCGAUGGUGCCGAGCAUCCUUCUCAGCGCAAGGGCUGGACUGGCUGAAGCGUUCAACGACGUGAACUUGCUACUGGCUUCAUUUUAUCACCAUCUUUUGAGGGAAGGUGUCAAAAUGGUACAUUUUUAAUUGCUUUAAACUUGAAGUUUGAAAUCCAGGUGUUCAUCUUGACACAGUGAUACUAGGACUCUUAAGUACUGCUUUAGCAAAAUAUUGAAGUGUAUUUCCAAGUCCCAUUUAUUUUGAUGACACCUGGGCGUGUUUUACUGGGCCAAGGAGUCUCAGAAGCCCUGGACACCUGGUAGGUAUGUGUUUUCCUUUUUUCCUCUCGUAAUGACUUCAUGCGUAGUGGUCAGAUGCUGUCUCUUUUGGUUGAUUGAUAGCAUUAAAAAAAGACAGAAAUAGAUGUCCAUCUUACUGGUUCAUUUUGUCUGACAACUGUGACCUUCUUUCAAUGAGAAAAAUGGUAAAUAAGGGUGGUAACCAACCUUCUAUUAGAAAGCAGUGGUGGUCAGUGGGUGUGAAUCACCCCCACGGAGGUGCAGAGGAAAUACCUUGCACUAUUGGCAGAAGCAACACAGAUCCCGCAGGGGCUUGGAGAUAGCAGCAACGCUGGCUCCGAAGCUGAGACACCGUGAAGUCUGCUUCUCCAGGAUAGCCGUGCCGGUUCAAGUGGCCAUUACAGAGCAGGGCAAGUAAAUGCCCACGCCAGGCUGCUUGGGUUCCUCUGACAGGCUCUGGUGGAGGGAGUGUUGGCACAUACUGGAGCAACGUUAGUGCCAAAAUUGAACAGGCCUCUACCCUGAAGGGCUUAGUCUGAAAGCCGAGGAGUGCACAGACGUUACAAGCAGCAAAAGCAGGUGCGUAGGGCGUCUCGCAGGAAAAGCUGGAGUCUUGGAUCUUCGGUAAAGAUGGAGAGUGCCGAAUUACCAGCAAGGGUGUCAGAGGUAAAGUAAGUUAUUGUUAGCUGACCUAGCAGUGGGCCAGCAACUCUGAUUUGGUGGACAGUGAUGAAGAGCAUGGAAACCAGCUGGGGUGAGGCAGAGCCAAAGGUGACGGGCUAGGAAGAGGAGGAGGGAAGAGAAAGGGGCCUGGCAGUUUUUUGAAGGUAAAAGGAGGACAAAACAGAAAUAUAGCAACAGCAGUAGCAUGCCCUCUGAGACCUGAAAGAAAGAAAGGCUGUUUGGCUCUGCUCUUUCAUUCCUGUCCUUUCUGUCCUCUGUUGACCAUGAUUUUGGCUGGGGAGUUGACAACCGCUUGCACAACAUACCAGUAAGAAGGGAGCAGAAAGCGGCUUUGUGGAGUAAUGUGCAAGGACAGUUUAUUUGACGGCUACAUGCAGUCGUAUCGGUGGCUGCAUUGUGCUGUUUGUUUCCCCUGGCAGUUGUUUGGUGUAGAUCUGGCUCAGACUGGGUCAGGUUGGUGCCUGGAGUUGCAACUGCCUCCUCCCGUCAGCCCAUGCAGGGUUAGGUGUGCUGACUUGCACAGUCCUACUCUUCUUGGAAAAUGCGUGUAGGGGAAGGUAGUUUACGUGUGAUCCUUGGCCUGUGCUAAGUCUUACCCGUCAAGCAAAUGAAGACACAAAAACUUUUCCUGCUGGCUGUGUAACCAGAGCCAAGCCUCACCGCCACUCCCAAGAACAGCUAUAACUGCAUAGUUUCCUGCUUAGCACAUUCAUUUUCGGGACCAUUAAUUUAAUAAGCAUCAGAGAAAUUCUUCUGUGGGAUGCUGCCAGGUAGCAGGGGCACUUAAAAGCAAGGCAGUUGGCCAUAGGCGUGCGUGCAUCCUCUUAGUCACGGCCCAGUGCACGUGUGCUUUAUUAUCCUCAUCAGGACGCUGGCCUCACGCAGGUUGUGUGCGGUAAUCAAAAGAUCGAGUCACCACCUCAGUGGAAAAAAAUCAUCUAAAACCGGGCUAAACGAGUCCACGUCAUAGCGCACGACAGGGCACGGCUUGGGGGAGGAAACAGCAGGUGAUUGUGUGGGCUUUCUGCUCGAAGCGAUGGAACAUGACAAGCCCUGCAGACCCUUUUGACCAGACGAGUCUGAUGACAGAAAUUAUAUAGCUGCCUGUUGACUUUUUUUGUACUUGAGCGGCUUUAAAAUGAAACUGUCUGGAAGCCAACAAAUUGCUUUAAAAUGCCUUGAAGUGACAGCGGCCCCAAACUUGUUGACAGGGCCAGGAAAGAAUUACGAAUAAAAGUUUGAUCUCCUGGCUACGGGUGCUGUAUUUUCUGCCAGUUCCAGUCAAGAGAAUAUGCAAAGGUUCAGAAAACAAAUACAGAUGUGAUAAAAGCAGCCAGCAAAAAAAUAGAGCAGAGCAUCUGGAAUAAAGUACUUAGAUUUGCAAAACUCUACACCCCAGCGAGAGGAUGUUGAAAAUAGCUUUAAAAGGAAUUUCAGCUUAAAUGAAGGUAGAAAGUUGCAUUUAAGUGUGAGAGUAAUCUGGAGUUACUAACCUUUGAGGCAUCGGUUCUCAUUAGGCUUGAGCAGGUUAAUUGGCUGAGUUUUCAUGGCCUGAUGAUGACUCGUUUGUAAAGUGUGUCUCGGUGUCAUUUUGUGCUGGAGCAGUGGUCCCAAGCUUUUACGGCUCUGAACAUGCAGUAGCAGCCUCAGCAGAGAGGGAGCAGACACUCAACCGUGUGCGUUUCUCCGUGCAGCUCAGGGCAGUUGUGUCGUGUUGGAGUUUUUGGAAAGCUGUGUGAUCGGCGUUGCAUCUGAACACUGAAUUUUUUUCUGUAACAAACCUUUAUUUACUCCAGAGUUUCUGUGGGUUAGUGAAGUCUGUCAUUCUUCUGUGUUUGCCAUUUGUAAACGUGUUUUGCCCGUUGACGUGAUUUUUCUCAAGCAGCUCAUUUCCAACUCCCAGAAGAGAGAGAAUCACUCCAGAAGGAGAAUUUUGGUGCAAGUGGAGGUACACAAAGCUUGAGGUCAUGCAGUCAGGACACAGGAAAACUAUCUGAUUUUAGGUAAGCACACCCAAAAGUUGUGAACAGCGAAGUAGGCUCAUAAAAGUCCCUAGGAUUCUGAUACCUUUCUCUACUUGACUUUCUGCGUUUCUGAUGCCGGAGCUUGCACGAAGUCCAAGUGAGCCCUGGUGAAGAGGCUGGUCAGCCCGAGUGUGCAUUUCAUAAUCCGCUGCCAGUAACGCUGGCGCUAAUUGCACUUUUGUGUAUUUAACUACUUCCCUGCUGCUCCAUAAAUAAAUAUAUGUGUUACCAGAUUAUGAACAUGAGAAAAUCCGUUUAAGAUGGAUAAAUUGUUUCCAACUUGUAGUUCAGGCCGCUUUAGAAAACAGGUAUGUUUUUUGCCCUAAACACACAUAUGUUGCAAGGGCUAACAAAACUGAUGCUGCAGUAACUGCCCCAAAUCCUGCUGCACCUGAAAUAAGAUGUGACAAGGAGGACACUCCGUCCACCAAACUGUGUGCUAAUGAUCCCUGUUUCUUGUGCAUUUAGGGGGGUUGGAGGGUGUCAGAUGCCACUUGCAGGCAGGAGCCUGAGACAUUUGAUUGAUGGUGUGUUCGUUACGUUGCUUAAAUGCGGUGUGCGGGCGCCCAGCUGCUGAAGGUCUCGGUGGCUGCAGGGCCGCACCUCCCUCUGCUGGUCAGCCGCUUCGGUGGAAGCAUUUCCUCUCCACUUCUUUUCAAGCAUGAGGAAAGUAACUCGUAAUUUUUUUUUGACACGAUUGACAGUGAAUGUGGGUUUUUUUUUUUUUUUUUAACAUUUGAAAAAAAAAAAUCUUUCCAUGUUUUGUCAAUAAAAACUCUGGAACUCCUGAAAGGAGCUGAGGACGCGCUGGCAGUACAGCCCGGGAGGUCGGGUGAAGGGUGGUUGAGGCUCUGGUUUUGCUUGUUUCCAAAGCCCAUGGCAGUGGGUGAGGUCAAGGCUUUUAGAUGCAGAAACAUUAACAAAAGCAGUAAAAAUUCCAAAUUGAGACUCAGGCAAGAAUCAUGCUUGCUGUUUAAAUGGAAUGAGAGUUCAUCACCCCAAAUGUUUGGAGGAUUGCUACCACAAAUCAAAAGUCUAAUUUUAAAAUAGAAGAGGUGGUAGGAAUUAGGGACUGCUACCGGUAGAGGGCUAUCUCAUCACUAAAAGCCACAGUCUUAGGCUUGGAUUAUAUUUUCUUGAUCAAUUUUGCAUUGUCCUUUUGUCACUACUGGAAGAAUGAAAACUGGAGUGGAGUUUUUUGGUCUUCAAUUACCACAGCUUUAUAUGUGGGUAAGUUAUUGCAUUUUGUUACCGCAGUAGUCCCAUUAAAAAAAAAUUCUAUGUCAAUUUGAGACUGCUCUCACAUUUUCAGCAACAGCAUUUCUAAAACCCGUUCUGCACAAAAUACCUGUAAUUCCAGGGGUGGCUGAAAUUCGGAAUGUAGACACCGCUUUAUCAGAAACAGGUCUGUUCCUCACCUGCCUCCAGAAACCUGAACACAAAUGUUGUUUGGGGGGGGGGGGCUGAAAUAUCAUGUUUAGUCUGUGCAUUAGUGAGGCGGUGUUCAAACUCCACAGGUAGCACCAGUUUCACUUGACAGGUUGACAGCUAUGCUCCCAUCCAGUACAGCGUCUUGGUGCGUUAGCUAUAACCUUAUUUCCGUACUCAACACACACAUCUUCCUUUGGUACCUUAAAGGGGGGCUGAUGUCGGUGCGCUCCAGAUGCGGUGUAAGGAGUUCACAGGCGGUGCCCAAGGGCACUAGCACUUUCCCACCACAAAGAGGGAGAUAUAGGCUGGAAAACAGCAGUGCUGGGCUACUUAGUUUCACAGGCGGUGUUACUUUAAGUUUCCUCACCAGGAGGAGAGCUGUAGAAGAGAACCUGCUUUGCUUCAGAGAGGGGAUCUACACCUCUUCUUCUGCCCCGUCUAGCCAGAAGUACUGUGGGGUGACCAAAGCCUUACGCUGGGGCUAUUGCUGUUCCUAGGCCAGUCUACCCACCACCGAGUGCUCUGGUCUCAGCGCUGCCUCCAGCUCGAGGGGGCUGGUCAGCAGUGGCGUAGGGCUCAUUGCCCCUUGCUUCGUUAGGCCCUACAGACGGUCCCACCUUAUGCCCAGGGUGUUCUGGCAAAACCACAGCAGCAGCGGUGCCAUCCUAGUAAACCCUGCUUCACGCCCUCGUUGAGUUAGGGUGCGGGUUUGUAAACAGGGUGCACAAAAAUGUUACGGUGCAGUCCUAAUAAUGCAGGAUUUUCCCUGCUGACAAAAGUUUCCUGUCCAGAACUAUAGCCAGCAGAAACCAAGAAAUGCUCCCUUUAAUGUUGCCUACAGUAGCAUGCUCCGGUCACACAAUAUGCCUUGAAAUGCAAAUGUUUUAUUGCAGUGUUUCAUUAUUUACAGUACCGUUCAUUCAUUUUUGUCCCUGGGUGCCACCAACAUGCAAGCGGUUGGAAACAGAAAAGCUAAACGGUGGUAAUGCAAUAGUAAAACAUUGCUGUGCUUUAUGCUGGUACAGUCAACAGCUUUUCCCUAGUACUGAAUGCAAAGAAGUUUUCUGCGCUCUCUCCAGUCACAUGAGAAAUAUUGUAAUGGGAAACUUUGGUCACAGAAGAUUCUUGGUCAGUCGUUGGUCUGUUCAAGGUGAUUCAGGAAUAGUCAUCUGUAGUCUUUGCAGCUGGACUUGCUCUUGAAUUCAGGGUUUCAUGUUAAGUUUUGGGUUUAAUCUUUAAUGUAAGUACUGUUUUGUUUCCAGUGCUUUUUUGCUGCAGAUUCUCUUUGGUUUAUUUAAGUUUUCAGACAUUUAACUGUUUCGGGGAUGGAUUCUUUCUGUCUGAACUGUCUUUUUUUUUUUUUUUUUUUUUUUUUUUUUUUUUAAAGAAGCUAGUGCCCUACUGUUAUCACUGCAUUGCUGCUAGAUACUGAAACUGGACAUGUAAGCUCCUAGAGUUGCAUUUAAAGGUGAUUUUUUUUUUUGUUUGGUCAUAAUAGACUACUGCAACUUCUAUGAUGUGUUGCUACUUCAUAUAAAAAUGGUAUUAGCAGACUCAGCGACCACUGAUCUCUGUACUUUGUCACACUAUUAUCUAAAAGUAGGACAAAUUACACUGUAUUACAAAUUAUGCUUCAGGAAUGAUAUCUCAACAGAAACUUCCCUUUUGGAGGGAGUCAUUACUAUACAUUUUAUUGAAGACAGAAGAAUUCCAGUAUUCCAGUGGUUAAGUCCCACAAACAGGUCAAGUAUCUUUUCAGCUUUGCAACAAGUGAGAAAGUACUUAAAAGACAGCUUCAGACUGUCUUCAGUCUGAAGAAAGUUUCCACUGCAGCCAGCAGCAGCUGUGGACACUCAGUCCCUUGGGAGGCGAGCAGCUAACCUCUCUGCUCUGGUUAGCUUAGUAUGAAACAGGGACAUUGUUACCUUCUAAAACUUGAAAGGCUUUGUGUGGCAAAGCUCUUCUAGAACUAGAAAAUGUUUAAGACUACAUUUCUGAAAAAUAAGUUAAAUUUAAAUGGCACACCAGUCCUUCAGAAAACGCUUAGCAGGGCUGCUGGGUAAGGCUCAGCAGCACUGACUGCUGCUCUCUUCUCACCUAAUGCCUGGUUCACAAUUCAGUAAUGAGUCCCUGCAACAGCUGCCUGAAAUGAUUUUGAAAUUCUGACUUCUGAAAAGUGGAGUAAGCACAGCUCUAGUGGGUUUUCUCCUGUAAGACAGACUUCUAUUCCAUGUUUCCACAGGCUUUUCUGUCUCACAGUUGUCAGAAUUCCACCAAAACCUUAAUAUUGCAGUAAGUAACAUUUUCACAAAGAAAAUGCUUUGUAUUUAUUUCAUAACCUACCAUACCAAACACUGUUUAAAAAGCUCUGCAGUGCCUCUGUACUGUUAUUCCUCUGGAAUUUGGAGGAGGCGACAGAGUUCACAUGCAGUCGACGACGUUGCUGGAUCCUUGGCCCACAUCACGGAUCUGGCUGCUGAGACAGGAGCACACGGCCACACCUGCCCCUGCCCUGCAGUGUGACACGGAGCCGACGAGUUCCCACCUAAAGACGAUGACAAAGAAGGAAAGAGAGAAAAGUAAGUUCUCGCCCUUUCUGAAUAGCUUUAAGUAUUUCUUUCCUGUGGCUGAAACACUACUGUAUAGGCUCACUGUUUCCUCUGAACAGAAAUAUACCCCACAAGUUUAUUCUCACUAUUUCUCUAGUAAGUUGAUUGUUUAGUGUAAAAUCAGAUUGAAACUACCACAAGAACUUAGAUUCUCACUGAAUGAAGGGAAGACAAGGGAUGGACAGGAAAAGAAGGACAAAAAGUGAGUGCUUAAAAACAGAGGAAAAAAGAAUUAGAAAGUAAUCAUCUUUUAAAAUAGUACUUAUGCCAUGCUUAAAUAUUUACAAGAAAAACCCAGUGGCAUGAGCAGCACUCCCCCAUCCCUAGAGUCAUGAAUAUUAGUUGAUUAUCACCAGGAAAAACAAAUAUGCUCCUCCUGCACACUAUUCCCAUUAUGUUGUGCUUUCAAAUAGGCAGGUAUCAUUGUUUUAUUAUGCCAAAUGAAAAAUUUUAAAUUACCUAUUCACUAUGGGAUCAAAUGCUUCCACUGUAUUCAGGUAUGCGUUGCCAUUAUGACCUCCAACUGCAAAAAUUUUACCCAUCAGUGUUGCUAUGCCAACUCCACCCCUUGGAGUUGUAAGCUCUGCUACAUACUCCCAUUUGUUACUGCGUGGGUCAAACCGCUCCACAGAGCUCAGUGGAGAGUUGUCAUCAAAACCACCUGCAAAGAAUCAUCAUAUAUUGGUAUUUAGCCUCUUUUAGUGGUGGUGAUAUCCAGGAUGCACAUUAUCUGGGUAUUCUCUGCAUUCAGCGGGCUGAUGUCCAGGACUAUGUUUUUAUAUGAAUCUUUUAAAAGUUCCUAAAAAAAAUUAACAGCUCCCAGUCCUGUUUGAGUAUGAUAACUUCAAGGGAAGAUUCACCUAGAAGAGUGACAAUUUUCUUCUUCACCCCACUUUGCAAGGAGUAUUCAUAUUAUUUGCUCCCCGAGUUCAUACUAUAUUUAGUUUUAAUGAAGUCAUUGCUAAUUUGGAAUUUAAAAAAAAAAAAAAGUAAGACCAGCAAAAGCACAGUCUUGAUUUUAUUUUGGCUGAAGCAAAACCAACUCUUGCACUGUUUUCAAACUGAAGUAGUGCUGAAAACUUUAACAGGGAAAAAAAGCCCUCAAGGAAGAUAGGCUUCAAUGAAACAUCCUACUUGGUGGGGCAGCUGUAAAAGGAACAGCUAUCUAACUCAGAAAAAUCCCAUGUUUUUGUUUUAAUCAUUUAAGAUAAUACACAAGUUUGACUGGUAGCUUAAUGAGCUGAACUAAUGAUGUGCUGACCACCGUUAUGACAAGUGCAAUUAUGGAAGUACAUUCAUAUGUCAAACUUGAUAGCAAAGAAAGCCACAUGCACAGCCUGCUCCCUGUAAUCAUCACUGUGAUAGACUUAGCUUCAUCUCUCAGGAAAGCAGGUAAAUGCAAUGCACAGUUGUAGUUUGAUAAGGCGGGCUUUGGUCAACAGGCAGUGGAGUAAGUGUAAUCGCUCUGCCAGAAAGCUAAUGAUGUCUACACUCAAAAUAGAACUGAAUGCCUUAAAAGUAUGUGGAUUUAUGGAUAACUUUUGUAAUAAGGAAACUAGUGAUUAGUGAGUAGUCUCAUGAGGAUUUUCCACGUAGACAUCUUGUUCUCGACAGUAUAGCCCUCCUGAAAUGUGAAAUACUUCUUUUUAUUUCCUCACUGUUAUAUCUGUAGGUGUGCCCUGGCUGUGCUUACUUUCUUCUCCCAUCCAAGAACACAAAGUGUUCUGUCAGGUCUAUCUUUUGUUCCCUUUAGCAACAACAACCUAUUCCAAACUUAUUCAAACAGAAGCAGCGUACAAAAUGCCACAUUCCUACUCACCGACAACGUACAAGCAGCCGUGGAGCUCACUAACACCAUUGCCAGCUCUUCGCUGACCCAUCUCUUUCACUUCUAUCCACUUAUCCAAAUGGGGAUCAUAUUUUUCCACACUGGAAAGAGAUGCUACACCAUCAUUGCCACCCACAGCAUAAACAUGGUUCUGAAAAAGAGUUAUUUAGAGAAAGAUUUAUAUAUUCAUCUAGCUUUUCAUAGAGAAUGUUAAAAUUUGAGGAAAGCUUGCCUGAUGUAUCCAACUGUCCUGUUUAUUUUUAAGUAUUCUGACAAUAGACCAAUUCUAACAGCUUGCAAAUGCUAUUUCCAGUAAAGCAAGUGGAAAAGUUGUAUAGUGUUCCAGAUACUUUGCAGAGCAUACAUGACAACAUGAGGAUUAAAAUAAUGAUGAAUGCAGUACAUUAAACAUAGUAACCAUGAUGAACCAGAGUCUUUGGAAUGAGACCAGAAGCAUUAGCUUCCCUCUUCCCUCUUAUGCUAGUUUAAUUAAAAGGCAUCUUGAUGACAAGCUUGCUCACAGUAUCUGAAAUAUGGUUAAAACGGGGCGCACAGUUCACAUUGAAAUGUGAUAAAGGCUCUAAAUACCCUUAUAUUUUGCACAGUUCCAUAGGAUUUUGAUGUCCAGAAAUGAUCAGACCCACUACUUGUAUUUUAUUCAAAAUCUCGCCUUGUAAGAUGCCUUUGUAAGAUGAAUUUUAAAAAUAGUUCUAGAGGUAGGUUCCUCACGGUUCAUCCCUAACUUGGGAGAAAACAGUAACUUACCACGAGGGCUACAGAGCCCACUCCUCCUCUGGGAGUGUUCAUGGGGGCUAUUCCGCUCCAUCGAUCAGAUUCAAUGUCAUAUCUUUCCACAUCGCUGAAGCACGUGUUGUCAUCUAAACCUCCUAUUGCAUAAAUGGGGCCACCGAGGGAGGCAAGAGCAAUUCCUCUCCUAAUAAAAUUGUAGGAUCAAUACUUCAAUGUGAAUCCUUAAGGGGAGCAGGAAAGACACAUCAAGUGCAACUUUAUCUGACUGGCAAUGGUCCCAAAGUAUGGGAAAAAAGUAAUGAAAACCUAAAAGCAAAUGAAGUUUAGAAUAAACAAUGAUCAAUAACCAUCAAGUGAACGGGAGCUCAGCUCUUGCUGGCUCUCUGCAUGCCUGUCAGUCUUGCAGCGUUAUGCAGAAUGUCUCUUAUACACUCACAGCCUCCCUUUAGGGAGCUCUCGUGUUACCUUAACAUCACCUCAGCUCUUCCAGCCCCUUCUGUGUUGAUCUUGUGAUCCAAAACUAGUAGAGAGGACUGCUGUGGCUAGAAUUUUUUUAGACUGCAAAAAAGAUAAGGGACCUGUAAAUUGCCAUGGGAUACUGUUUUGACUGAAGGUCAUCAAAGGCCCAAGUCUGUCUGUAUUAUUUGAGCAUUAGAUUCCUCUACCUCAGUCCUGAAUUUUAUGCCUCCUGUCUUACUUUAUCAUAUCUGAUGGAGAUAAACCUGCUGAUUUUAACCGUGUUAAUAUAACUGCUGCUGUCAUUGGGGAAUUACUUUUGGGGGUGAUAUUAGUACGCACUAAAAAAAACCCCCAAAUGUGUACUAGAUAUUAGAAGACUGACCUCUAGAAAGAUUUAAUUGCAGUUUCUUUCAUUCUGUUUCUUAUUAAGUCUGCUGCAAGAGUUGACAGAUUUAAUCUAUGAAAUCUACCAAUAUGAGAGUACAAUCAGUACUAUAAAAUGAACAGCAUGCCAUUAGAGAACUUAACACUUACCUUCUAGAUACUUUAAGUUUCUAUUUAAAUUACAAAGAUGCAUGAUUUAACAUUCCAGGGAAAACAUUCUUGUCUCACUACAUAGAGAGUGGCUUUGCAGAUAUUUAGAUAGGAUAGAAGGAGGCUGAGUCUUUCUACAAAAUCAACAUUGUGGCAAGAUCCCAGGCAUAUCUUAAAUUGCCUCAACAGAUGGUGUGUAUUUGGCCCCAUUAAGGGUAGCAGUCAAAACAACAUUACAUUUUACCUUCACCUCUGUAGUCAGUUGUGAUACAUUACAUUUUACCUUCACCUCUGUAGUCAGUUGUGAUAGCAACCAUAUUGAGCUAGGAUCUGUCUGUCGACCAAGGAAAAAAAAGUCUACCUUAGAGUCUGAUCUAAAGACAUCCAAGCUAACGGUGCCGUUUGACAUGACAGGUGACCUUCACAGCACAUCAUAAUCUAAAGAAGUGACCUUGUUCCUUUCCUUCUCUUCCUGCCCUGCUUCCGGGCAUCUGACUGCAUGACCAGUCACGUCCUGCCUGGCUUCCUGUCCUGUUUGCCACUAGGCUCCAUCAGCUCCCUCAGGGUCACAUGAGGAUGGGAGUGUGAGACUGUCCCUCUGCCCCCAGUCAAGCUGGGUCAGAAAUUCAGGGAAAUUAGUGUACCACAAAGCCUGACCAACAAGACCAGGUGAUGUACGUGGCACACUGUAACCAGUAAGUUAGUAGUACACAUAAGCAACUAGUUGGCCAGUAGGCCUAUGUUAAUCAGAUCCAGAGUUUUGAUCACGUUUCUCUGCUUUCAAAAGAUUCUGUUCAUUUUAGAGAUUCACUACAAAUAAAAUAGUAAAGAACUUACAAGAAAAAUCUCUUUUCUCAAAUAAGUAUUCUUACACCUUUGCCUUGGAUUGGACCAGUGGAGCCUAGCCAGGGCACAGUAGCCAUUCCACUCACUGACUGACUUAAUAAGAAGUGUCACAAAAAUCCAGAACUGAAGUUUGCCAAGAAUAUGCUCAGGGUGGGGGAGGCAGAAGGCAUUUGGAGAAGCCUAGGUUUUCUGCUUUGAUUACGUUACAGCCACAAAUAGCUUUAGGACUUGGUCAUGCCUACUAUUUUACUCCCCCUUGUACGUGACACUGUUAGAAACAACAAGUAACAAAAAUAAAUACAGAAUUAAGGAGACUGAUUAAAAUGAUAGCUGAAAGAAAAAAAUUAGGAUCUACCAGUCCAGUAGCUCUUUAGAAGAAUUUAAGUACUCAAAGGCAAAACAAAUCCACUACAUGACUUUCAAUGUGUUAGUGCUUCUGGCUUUUUAUGGCAAAAAACAUGAGCUGCUAUUGGUUCCCUGGGCAUCAAGUAUUUUACUACGCAUAUCCUGCUGGUAAUGACCUUGAUCAUUCUUAAAAGAGUUUCCAGUUCCUUUAUCUGGCUUAGCAGAAAAUAAGAUGAAUGAAAGCACAAAAAAAAGCCGAAGAACAAAUAUAACCAAUGUUACCAGCCAGGGCCUUCCCUUGGAGAAAGGGAUUCUGCAGUCUUUCAGUGAAAUUCCUAGUAUGUUACUCACAGCUUGGUGUUGGUGCAAAUAUGUGAUGUGUGCAAGUAUGUGAUGCAGACUUGUUUGCUCUAUAGCUAGUAAAUAAGAGAGUGUGUUGGCAUUGAAACCCCAAAAUAGAAAAAAAAUCCUAAAAAUAGCUGAGUUUGGGAACCCACAUAAGGCCCAAGAUAGACAUGAGAAUGUUUUCCAGCAUCAACAACAAAUGAUGGAUCAAGGACUAGGACUUAAAUUUUUUGUCGCAUGUUGGAUCCUGAGACACGUACCUCUUUGUGUUCAUUGAUGCCUUCAUCAUCCACUUGUUUGUGAGAGGAUCAAAUACUUCCAUGCUUCCUAAGUGUUCAUUUCCAUCAUGUCCACCUACUGCAUAGACUUUACCUGAAAUGCAUACACGUAUUCAGGUACAGAGAUUGCUUGGCAACAUUUCAGUUUUCAUUUAUAUAACAUCCCUGCCUACAUGGGGAAAUACGCUCAAGUAAACAUUAAAGUUUUAAAGUUUUUCAGUAUCAAGUUCUUAAAAAGUUAGGACUUCAUAUUUUUAUAUGCUAUUCUCAGCCAGAGAUCUGUUUUAAUGUAGACUGCUAUACAAAUCUUGAAACAUGUAUGCAGGAAAUCUUCAUAUACCUUAUUAGGGUAUUGCAGUUCAAAUCAGUUUUGGACAUUUACACAGAUAUAUCAGUCUCUCCAGAUUUUCUAGGGGGAAAAAAAAAAGAUCUUUGUUCUGCUUUAGCACAGAGGCCACCAUGUAUGAGGAAGAGUUGAGUCAUGGAUGCUAAGCUGCUCUGGACUGCAUGGACCUGGUUUCAGAAGUUGAAGUCUCAAAAAUAAAGAAGACCUGGUGAUCAAGCUUAAGAACAGUGAGGCUCUGCAUGGGAUGAGACACUUCUACCCGGCCACCGGCAGUCAGUGCCUGCAGUAAUCCCCAGUGACAAGGCAGAUCUGAAAUAAGAUCACUGGAGGACAAGAGUUUAUGGAGGUGCUGCGGUGACACGCUCACAAAGUCUUCGCAUUCCACCACCUCGGCAAAAUGUUCACAAGCGUAUUGAUCAGCCAUGUCCAUCAAGUCAAUGCGGUUGUGACUCUCCGCAAAAGCCCUGACUGCCAGGCAGUUGGAGGGAUGGAAGUGUAGCUUCAUGUAUUCACAGCAAGCUUUUGCUACAAGCUCCACCUGAAGAAUGCAAGCAGCGUACAAGAGAGGCUGGACAUUAUCGACAGUCAGAAAGCAAUCUUUUUAAAACAACAAUACUGACGAAUUUAUUAGAUCUGCAAAGUUUCUUGGCCCAGAUCUUCCCCUGGUGUGCAAGACAAAAAGUGGUACCACGAAGUCACAUACGCAGCAUAUGCAGCUAUAAAGCCUAACCAAGAAGAGGCUUUAAAAAUGUAUCCCAGAAGAUAACUGGAAUCUAAUACUAAAGACUGUCAACAAGAAGGAUGCUGUGACAACACUCCUCAGGAAACCUUCUUCAUAAAACAGAAGAAAUACAGAGAUGUUCCCGGGACAAAGCUUUAUGCAGCUCUCAAACUGAAGCGCGGUGUUUCUUCUGAAGGUCAUGGCCCCAUCUCUGCAUCCUCCUCUCAAGCCUAGCUGCUUCGCACGUGUGGAACGGAGAGAAACAUGCCUCCUCACAGCUACUUCCAUUGUCUCCCAGGAUCAGUGACAGCAAGCUUAUUUAAGGAUGGGAUGCCCACCAGGAGGCACCAGGGACUCGCAUCUGUGGAAGAUUUUCCUUGUUGAUAUGCAACAGUAAAGUGGCAGGGAAGCAAUGUCUCCCAAGGGCAUUUGUUAUCUGUUCGUGCUACUGGAAUCCUUCUCUUAGUGUAACAUCGCAGAGCUCUCCAGCUUCAAAGAAGUGAAGAAGAGAGCUGUGAAAAUCCUUCCAAGCCUCAUUUGCUUCAAAUACAAAGAUUUCAUCUUCACCAUCACUGUUGGAAGACCUAGUUUGCUGCUGCUGCUGCCGCCUUUUUCCCUUUAUCAGAUGCUGUUUUGCCUGCUCUGGGAGCAUGGAUUCUGAAGCCAUUGGCUGUUUCUUCUUUCACAGCGUGAAUCUUCAAAUACUCCCACCAAGACAAAAUCCAGCCCAUCAGGAGUCAGUCCAAAAACGCAAACAAAAUCCACCAGAACACCUAAAACAGUGAUUAAGGAUUCUGUUUUGCAGAUAUACAAAAUGCAUUUAGAAAAUGAUUUAUCCAAGGAAUCCUUGAGAAUAUUGGAAAAACAGAACACACAAGAAGAAACACUGCAAGCUGAUGCAAUGAUAGAUGCAGUAAAUGCAACACGAUUUGCCACCAGUAUUUUGCACUUGUAAGAACACAGAACGGUCCUUUGCCAAAGGGAGUUGUCACAGCCUUCCCCGAUGCGAUCAGAUUAAAAAUAACAGUAGUCUGAUGGUCUCUACAGCAGCGUUUAGACAAGGCCUUACUGGGAAGCGUAAACUGAGAAGAAAACUAUUUCUAAGCUAUUUGUCAGCUGCCCUUUAUCCUGGAUCUCUGAAUCAAGGUAUGAUACCCAAGAGAGUACUCUUGGUGCUAUAGUCAAAUGCUGUUUCCUAUACACCAGAUAGUCCCAUUUUUUCAGGCCUCUGCCUUACAUGCCAAUCAUCAUCUAGUCCAUCCAAGUGACACUCUAAGUCAAACAGCUCAGACUAUGUGGUAAUACUUUCUUCCUUUUGUCCCACAGUUGAGAGGUUCAUUCAUGUUCUGUCUCUCAUUCAAAAACAUCUACUUGAAAGCGGAGAGGAAAAAAGUAAUACGAGAUAAAAGGCUUCUGAACCCAAGAACCUGUAUCUAUUGAUGAGAGGAAUUAUUAGUAUAACAUCUGUUUGCUGAAGCCCACUGAGGGCUGGCUAACUGAAAUACUGGCUCACAUGGGAGUAUUCUACACUGCUGCAAAUUACUGGCAGUAAUUACACAAUAUUGAUGUCUUCUGUUAUGACCAGAGUGAUUAGACUUACUGUUCCAAAUCAAUGGCCAGCUAGAAAACCAGAUGCCAGGCUACUGAACUCCAUAGGGAACCACUAACAAUUUAUAAAAUGAGCCAGGUCAUGAGUGCACUGCAGAUCACAUGCUGCAGAGUAACUAGCACAAGUAUAAUCUUAGCAUAUAACCAAGCAGACUUGCUUCUGACAUGGCAUAAGAGUUUGAACACAGCUUAUGGGGGAAUGAGCCUAAACGAAUUCAGAAGCCUCAGCCCAACUGCUUAAUAUGACAAGGCUGAAUCUUGCACAGCUUUACCUCCUUACAACUAAUCAAAGCAAGAUAUAAAACAGCUGUUGUUGUUUUAGCUUAACAUUUAGUGAGUUAUUUUACCUGCUGUAGCAUCUUCCUAUAAUCACAUAUGUGGUACAUUUCUUGAUUAUACUUCUGGAAGCCUUUGCAACAGGCACAGAGGGCUAGGUAUUUUUGAGUUUUAUAACUUUUAUUACCACAGAAUGCAUUAGAACUAUUACAGAAGGAAGGAAAUACAGAUUUAUAAACAAGGAGGCCCUAUCUGGCUUGUGAAAUAUUUCCAUGUCUCUUUGAGGAUAAGAACUUGUUUAACUGAUGCUUCCCACAAACCACUAAGAAAGUGGCUUGAGUGGAGAUGGAAAGGUGGAACCUAUCAAAGCAGGAAGAAAGCUCAAGCAGGCAACAUGAAGAGGAGAGCUGGUAGAAAAAGAGCUGGUGGAAGAAAAGCUGGUAGAGUAGUGGCAUUCAAAAUUCUCAUUUAUAUGAGAAGGAAGUGAAGGCUAGGAAUCCCUGAUGCUCUCCCCCAGUAGCAACAGAUAAUAUCUUGCACCGUUUUCUAAUAAAAUAAAUUAUUGUCUUGAGGUAAUAGAAAUGAUUUUACUUGUUAUGAAUAAUGGGAUGUCAACAGUAAACCAGCUAGGCUACAGCACUAAUUGUCUGGGCUGCAGUCUCCACAAAAGUGAGUGGCUAAUACAGAGCAGUUUAUAAUCUACAGCCUUACAACUCAGUUUAUUUAUAUGCUCUUGUAACUGUGCUUGAAUCAUACAGCAGCUGAUGCUACCACAGCUAAGGGGCUCUAUUGCUGCAUCUCAACGAAAAAAAUCUCCAUGUUCUGACAAGAGACUAGUACAUCUUAAUUCUGUUUUGCUCAAUAAUUCUGCUCCUGUUAGUGGAAUAAUUCAGUCCUGCAUUAAUUCUAUGUUAAUCUUAAAUAAAAUAAAAUAAAUCCA